CUACGGGAUGCAGCAGUGAGGAAUAUUGGUCAAUGGGCGAAAGCCUGAACCAGCCAUCCCGCGUGAAGGAUGACAGCCCUAUGGGUUGUAAACUUCUUUUAUACAGGAAGAAUAUCUCCUACGUGUAGGAGCUUGACUGUACUGUAAGAAUAAGCAUCGGCUAACUCCGUGCCAGCAGCCGCGGUAAUACGGAGGAUGCAAGCGUUAUCCGGAUUUAUUGGGUUUAAAGGGUGCGUAGGCGGAAGAUUAAGUCAGUGGUGAAAUCUUGCAGCUUAACUGUAGAACUGCCAUUGAUACUGAUUUUCUUGAAUUCAUAUGAGGUAGGCGGAAUGUGUAAUGUAGCGGUGAAAUGCUUAGAUAUUACACAGAACACCGAUUGCGAAGGCAGCUUACUAAAUUGACAUUGACGCUGAGGUACGAAAGCGUGGGGAGCGAACAGGAUUAGAUACCCGGGUAGUC
rnacentral:rRNA from 1 species